rnacentral:misc_RNA from 1 species
CUUCAUCACUUCAUCUCCCUCCCCCUAUUAAUACAGCUCAGCAGCUUCACUGCCAUUUCGCACUCAAAAACACAAACGCAAGCACAAGCAAAACACAAAGAAGCUCAAGAAAGCUGAGGCAAGCCCAGAAGAAGAAAAAAAAAACUAGAAGGAGAGAUGGGAAGAAGCGAAGGCAGCACAAGCCCAGCGGCUGGGGGAGCCGCCUGCGCGUGCGCGGUCUGCGGCGGCGCCGCGGUGGUGUACUGCGCGGCGGACGCUGCGGCGCUCUGCAGCCCCUGCGACACCGCUGUGCACGCUGCGAACCUGCUGGCGUCGCGCCACGAGCGCGUGCCCCUUUCCAUGGUGACUGCUGCAUCCGGCGUGUACGACGACGACCUCUUCGCGCCCGACGACAUCGACGCGGCGUCGUCGUGGGCGUCGGCGCCUGCGCAGGGGCAGGGAAGCCCCCAGAACGGGAGCUCGUCGGCGAGCUUCACCACCGGCGACAGCGGCGCGGAGGGCAGGGGCCUGUUCGACCUGCUGUCCGACGUCGACUUCGCUGCCUGUGUCACGGGCGGCGGCGGCUACCUGCCGGACGGCGUGGCGCCCGUCGUCCAUCACGGCGCUGCACCUCUGUGGGCGCAGCCCGGUCUGGCCGCCGCCGCAUGGACGGCCACGUGGUCGCCCGCUGUCGUCGUCCCGGGCGCCGCCGUGGUCGCCGCGGCGGCGGCGGAGCGGGAGGCGAGGGUGCAGAGGUACCGCGAGAAGCGCGAGAGGCGCAAGUUCCAGAAGACCAUCCGCUACGCGUCCCGCAAGGCCUAUGCCGAGGCGCGGCCCAGGAUCAAGGGCCGCUUUGUCAAGCGCGCCGCCGGCACCUCCUCCUCCUCCUCCUCGGGUGCCGGCACAUCGGACAGCAUCGACGCUGCUGCCAAGUUCUGGCUCUCCUUCUCCGACGACGCCAGGGACGGCUUCUUCGUGGACGCCGGGGCCUACGGGGUCGUGCCAAGCUUCUAGAAAGUUUGUGCCUUGAAAAUUUAGGGGUCACACUCGCAUCACAGCGGGCAGCGCUUCUGGGCUUCUGGCGGUGGCGUUCGCCCAGUUUGAAGCAAGUUAAGCAACCGCCCUUCUCGUUUGUGUCGUGUCGUCUCGUCAUUCAUGUGAGCAGCAUCCGUGGUGAAAUUCCGCCAUCGCUAUUUUUAAAUGAUGGCGCGGAAUUUCGAUGGGUCAUCACCAGUUGGUGAACGAACUAGGGGAUUUAUUGUGUCUUGUAAGAUACAACUUUACUGGGUUGUCUAUCAAAUUCUGCGUUGGCUCAUCGUCAUCGCUUUACUGGGGCUAACAAUAUAGUUGUGGUGGAAAUCUGCCAUCCAUGCUUCCAUAGCAAGCUCUUAGAUGAUCGGAAUAAAAGGGGAUUUUGAUGGGCCAAUCAGGAAGUGGGUUUGGUUAAUCUAUAUAUGGAGCAUAUAGCUUAUGCAGCUGUUCAUCCACAUGGUUUCAGUGUUUUGACUUUCU